GAUGAACGCUGGCGGCGUGCCUAAUACAUGCCAGUCGAGCGAACAGACGAGGAGCUUGCUCCUCUGACGUUAGCGGCGGACGGGUGAGUAACACGUGGAUAACCUACCUAUAAGACUGGGAUAACUUCGGGAAACCGGAGCUAAUACCGGAUAAUAUAUUGAACCGCAUGGUUCAAUAGUGAAAGACGGUUUUGCUGUCACUUAUAGAUGGAUCCGCGCCGCAUUAGCUAGUUGGUAAGGUAACGGCUUACCAAGGCGACGAUGCGUAGCCGACCUGAGAGAGUGAGCGGCCACACUGGAGCGGAGACACGGAACAGGCGACUACGGGAGGCAGCAGUAGGGAAUGGUCGGAAAUGGGCGAAAGACUGACAGAGCAACGGCGAGGGAGUGAUGAAGUUCUUCGGAUCGUAAAACUGUGUUAUUAGGGAAGAACAAAUGUGUAAGGAACUAUGCACGGCUUGACGGUACGGAAUAAGAAAGCAACGGCUAACUACGUG
rnacentral:rRNA from 1 species